CUCUAUCUCUUUCUCUCUCGUCUGCAGUGCCUCUCUCUCUCUCUCUCACACACACACAUCUCUCAAUAGUUGCCGCCAUCCUCUUCAUUGUCCAACAUCAAGUUUGCCUCGCUGGUUUCUUGUCAAUGCUAGUAAGUCACUCCAUCCACAUCUCUCUCUCUCUCUCUCUCUCUCUCUCUCUCUCAUGGUCAUGCCUUCACUACUGUUGCCAAGCCACUCCAUCGCGAUAAUGUAGCAACUUGUCACACCACAAGGCCAACCGUCACCUCUUAUGCAUUCAGUCUUAAUCCCCUAAUAAGCCUAUCUCCUCUCUAGAGAGUUUCGACCCGCUCUCACAACGGUGGCAUGAAGGAUAUGAUGUUUCCUAUUGGGCGAUGAAGCAUAAAUCUUCUCAUUCCAGGAAACCCAAAAAUAUAAAAUCUGAUAGCAAAGGGUGAUGAAGCAUAAAUCUUACCCAUAUCAAUCUAUUCAAUUUUAUGUCUAAAAUUGUAGGAUUUAAAAUGUAAAAGAAGCUAUGGGUGGGUGACGAAAAAUUUUGGGGAGAACGAUAUUCGUGGAGGGUGAUGGAACUUGGGUGAGACAACAUUGUCCGACUAUGGUGAGGAUUUUUUUUUUUUUUUUUUUUUUUUUGGUUUCGUGCAGCAGCAAUGUUUUGUGUGGUAGCAGUUUGGUUCUUCCCAGAAUAAACGAGAUGGAGGAUCUGGUUCUUCUCCAUGAAUGGUGAAA